rnacentral:lncRNA from 1 species
UUUCAUUGUUUAUCCGUUGGUCCCUGGUGGAUAGUUGUUUCAUUGUUUUUUCGUUGGUCCCAGGUGGAUAGUUGUGUUCAUUGUUUAUUCGUUGGUCCCUGGUGGAUAGUUGUGUUCAUUGUUUAUUCGUUGGUCCCUGGUUGAUAGUUGUGUUCAUUGUUUAUUCGUUGGUCCCUGGUUGAUAGUUGUGUUCAUUGUUUAUUCGUUGGUCCCUGGUGGAUAGUUGUCUCAUU